GGUAAGAUCUGGCGGACAGCGGGUGUAAUUCGGAUGGUGCCAGGGUUAAUUGGGAUGACUGGUCGGGAAUUGUGCGGAGUCGGCCGGGCAAGGCGAGUUGGAAGUCCCAGUGCUUAACUUGGUAAUUGCGCUCGAAACUACGAGGCUGUAGUGUUGCAGAGGAAGGCGGAAUUCCAGGUGUAGCGUUGAAAUGCGUAGAUAUCUGGAGGAACACCUAUGGCGAAGGCAGCCUUCUGGGCCAACACUGACGCUCAUGCACGAAAGCGUGGGGAGCAAACAGUAGUAGAUACCCUGGUAGUC
rnacentral:rRNA from 1 species